UUUCAAAAGAAAACCUCUCCUUUGAAGAGAGUGCAUGUCUGCAAUUCUUCACGACCCACUGAAAGGAAAGGGAAUUGCACUAUGCAAGACUGGGGAAUUUGUCUUCCAUUUUUCAAUCAUAACCCAAGCUUGAUGGGGAGUCUAACUCCAAGUAGAUGGGUCUACCAAGAAAGCCCUCCGCUGAUUGACUCUGCUGUGCCACAGCCUGAUGGCGGGACCUUCUCCAUCUCCUCUGUCUACUUCAUCACCCAACUCAAGCCUCACCUCCUCCAGGAGGCAUUCCCAGGUUCUCCAGCCUGCUGAUGAUCUCGGCCUUCUCUGACCUCCCUAUGCAUCUCAGAGACUUUAGCCAUCAUGUUCUCUGUGUUCUCUCCACAUCUGAUAUAAUGGAGAGAAGAGACGGGAAAAUUCAGGUGAUAGGUGCGUGAAUCUCGAUUCUGCCCCAAGCUAGCCACGUGACCCUGGUGACGUCAUUUCUCAGCUCUAAGCCUUGUGGCUCUUUUUUACAAUGGAGAGGUGAGCGUGGUGACUGCCAAGGUCUGCCAGUUCUGAUAUGUACUGAAGACAGGACAAACUGGUGGGAGAAAGCAAAUUCAGUCAAGACAAAACACACGCUUGCCUUUCUGCACCCAGAAUGUGCUUUACAUAAGUGAAGUGACUUCCUUUUUGACCGGCUUGUUCUUUAGUGGGGAGCAAGGGGGAGCAAUGCUGCCCACAGCAGCUUGGAGAGAGGGAAUAUGCAGGUGUCUGUGUGGCGAGGGCCUACGCUGGUAAGUAAAGGAGGCGCAGACACCGCUAAUUCCUUCAGCUGCGUCACACUUAUUUCUGUGAUAUUAGAAUUAAAGGACCUUUAGGGUGUUUAGAGUAUAAACACCUA